CUAAGAACAUUAACAAGUCACUGUCUUCCCUGGGCAACGUCAUCUCUGCUCUGGCCGAAGGAAAUAAGACCCAUGUCCCGUACCGUGACAGUAAGAUGACCCGAAUCCUGCAGGACUCUCUAGGGGGAAACUGUAGAACCACCAUGUUCAUCUGCUGCUCUCCAUCCAGCUACAACGACCAGGAGACCAAGUCCACACUCAUGUUCGGACAACGAGCUAAGACCAUCAGGAACAAGGCCUCGGUCAACCUGGAGCUGACAGCAGAACAGUGGAAGAAGAAGUACGAGAAGGAGAAGGAGAAGAACAGGGUGAUGAAG